CAAUUAGUACGGUAUAUUCUUACCUGUCAAUCUUAAUAAGAUUGUCAGUGUAAGCGAUGAUGACAUUGGUAGUUAUGAUUACUCAGGAAUUAUAACGAACCUGAUUGGUCAGUGGCUUGCAACGGCCGUUGGUCAGUCCGUCUGAG
rnacentral:snoRNA from 1 species